GUGUCAUUUCUAUAGCACACAUAUUAAAAUUGGAAUGUUACAGAGAAAAUGAGCAUAGCCCCUAUGCAAAGAUGACAUGAAAAAUCUGAAAUGUUCCAUAUUUUU